AGAGUUUGAUCCUGGCUCAGAAUCAACGCUGGCGGCGUGCCUAACACAUGCAAGUCGAACGAGAAAAGGGAGCAAUCCCUGAGUAAAGUGGCGACCGGGUGAGUAACACGUGACCAACCUACCCUCGAGUGGGGAAUGACUCCGGGAAACCGGGGCUAAUACCGCAUAACAUCUCCGGCUCGGAAGAGCUGGCGAUCAAAGGAGCAAUUCGCUUGAGGAGGGGGUCGCGGCUGAUUAGCUAGUUGGCAGGGUAAUGGCCUACCAAGGCGAAGAUCGGUAGCCGGCCUGAGAGGGCGCACGGCCACACUGGAACUGAAACACGGUCCAGACUCCUACGGGAGGCAGCAGUGGGGAAUUUUGCGCAAUGGGGGAAACCCUGACGCAGCAACGCCGCGUGGAGGAUGGAGUCCCUUGGGACGUAAACUCCUUUCGACCGGGACGAUAAUGACGGUACCGGUGGAAGAAGCACCGGCUAACUCUGUGCCAGCAGCCGCGGUAAUACAGAGGGUGCGAGCGUUGUUCGGAAUUAUUGAGCGUAAAGGGCGCGUAGGCGGUGCGGU
rnacentral:rRNA from 1 species